AUUGCUCUGGAGUGCAGGUAAGAGUUUGUUGGGGUACCUGACUAUUUACGAACAUACUAGCGCCGGAUUCUGACGCAGUGUGCACGCCUUCUCGCCUGAAGGAAGCCUGAAGCGUCAUGCCGGACAAUGAUGCAACAAAGGUCAGUAACUCUCGCGGCCAUACGGCAGAUCUGGAGCAAUA
rnacentral:other from 1 species